rnacentral:rRNA from 1 species
UGGCCUACGGGAGGCAGCAGUGAGGAAUAUUGGUCAAUGGGCGGAAGCCUGAACCAGCCAAGUCGCGUGAGGGAAGAAGGCCCUGCGGGUCGCAGACCUCUUUGGACGGGGAGCAAGGCCGCCGACGUGUCGGCGGAAGGAGAGUACCCGUAGAACAAGCAUCGGCUAACUCCGUGCCAGCAGCCGCGGUAAUACAGAGGUCUCACGCGUUGUUCGGAAUCACUGGGCGUAAAGCGUGCGUAGGCUGUUUCGUAAGUCGUGUGUGAAAGGCGCGGGCUCAACCCGCGGA